AGAUGUUACUUUUGAUGUCGGUGCUACAGGUUUCUCUUCAAGUGCUAGUUCUUCAUGUGUUUCCUCCCCUGCUAGCUCUUCAGUUUUUUCUUUCGAUGUUGGUUCUUCAGGUUCCUCUUUAACCUCUGGUACAUCAUGUUUCUUUUCAAUAACUAAUUCUUCAGGUUUUUCUUCAACUUCAACUGCUGGUUCUUCGAGUUUUUUCUCAAUUUCUGGAAAGUGAGCAGUAUUGUUGUUGGUAUUGCAUGGAAUUUCAUUAUCAGUUUUGUCCUUAGAGUCUACAACUAGCAAAUUCUGCAAGAAGUAUUUAAAGUUUCACUUAGUCUUUUGUAGAUAAGCAGAUGUGAAUUGUUACACUUACAUAACUAAUAGGAUGGAUAAACUUUAUCACAGUGCCUGACCCUCGCCUUAUCCAAAAGAGUUACCUUUUCAGAUUUCUCUUCAAAUGCUAGUUCAUUUGGUGUUUCUUCCCGUGUUGGUUCUUCAGGUGCUUCUUCAGUUACCCUUUUUUCUGGUUUAUCUUCAACUGUUGGUUCUUCUAGUGUCUCCUCAAUCGAUGGUUCUUCAAGUUUCUCCCUUGGUGCUAGUUUUUCAGAUUUAUCUUCAACUGUUGGUUGUUCAUGUUUAUUCUCAACCGCUGAUUCUUCAGGCUUCUCCAAAACCGCUGAGUCUUCAGAUUUCUCUUCAAUUGUUGGUUCUUCAUGUUUUUUUUCAACUACUGGUUCUUCAGUUUUUUCCUCAACUGAUGCAUAAUCAGCAAUAUCUUUGCUGGUAUUGCAUGGAAUUGCAUUUUCUGUCUUGUUCAUUGGGUCUACUAUUGGCGAAUUCUGCAAAAAAAUUUAAAGUUUCUUUUAGUCUUUCAAUAGAUAAACAGAUGUAAAUUCGUUGCGCACAUAAAGCUAAUAUGAUGGAUAAACUUUGUGACUGUUUAAUCCUCACAUUCUCCUGAAGAGCUUCCAUUUCAGGUUUCUCCUCUUCAAUUGCUGGUUUUUCAUCAUUCUCUUCAACCACUAGUUCUUCAAGUGUAUCUUCAACCGUUGGUUUUUCAGGUUUCUCUUUAAGGGUUUCCUCCCCUGCUAGAUCUUCAGAUGUUUCUCUUUCUGUUGGUUCUUCAGGUUUCUCUUCAGCCUCUGGUUUCUUAAUUUUUUCCUCAAAUGAUUCUUCAGAUUUCUGCUCAACUGUUGGUAAAUCAGGUUUCUCUGGUUCCUCGGGUUUUUCUUCAACUGCUGGUUCCUCAACUUUUGCAAAGUUAGCAGCAUCGUUUAGGGUAUUGCAUGGAAAUUCUUUGUCAGUUUUGUUGUUUGAGUCUACAGCUAGCAUUUUCUGCUAGAGGAAUUUAAAGUUUCAGUUAGUCUUUAAGUAGAUAAGCAAAUAUGGACUGUUGCACAUACAUAACUAAGACAAUGGAUAAACUUUGUGCCAGUGCUUGAUCCUCACCUUUUCCAAGAGAGUUACCUUAUUAGGUUUCUCCUCUUUAACUGCUGGUUUUCCACCUUUCUCUUCAACUGCUAGUUGUUCUGUUGUUUCUUCAACUGUUCGUUCUUCAAGUUUUUCUUUGAAUUCUAAUUUUUCCGGUGUUUUUUCCCGUGUUGGUUCUUUUGGUGUUUCUUCAACUACUAGUUCUUCGAGUUUCUCUUCAGCUGCUGUUUUUUCAAAUUUCUCCUGAACCUCUGUUUCUUUCUCUUGCACAACUGGCUCUUCAGGGUUUUUUUCAACUUCUGGUUCUUCAUGUUUCUCUGUAACUGUUGGUUCUUUAUGUUUCUCUUCAAUCAUUGGUUCUUCAUGUUUUUCUUCAACUGCUAGUUCUUCAGAUUUUUCCUCUACUGCUGGAUGGUCAGCAACAUCUUGGUUUCCCUUCUCGAUUAAGUUGUUCCCGUGUUUCCCGCUCGUAUCUGAUUCAGCAUCAUCUAAUCUAGUUUCUUCGACAACGUUAAUAAAUGAGUUACCAAGCACAAAUUGUUCUUGUACCAUUCGACCGUCAUCCUUGUCCGAGCUAGUUGCUGAUUCUUUUGCAUUUUCUGGGUAGCCAUUUGAAGAAAUAUUUUCAGCUGGGCUGAUUUCUACUCUUUCAUCUUCUGUUUUCUCCCCCUGGUGGAAUGAACUCCCGAAGAUCUGUUCAUCUGACUUGUUUGGUGUAUCGACUGACACAUGGACCUCUAUUGAACUGCCAUUUUCUUCAACAGCCUUGGAAACUAAGGGUGAUGCAUAAAAAAUUUCACCCCCAGUGAUUCCAUAGUUACCUUUAGUCAGAUCCUUAAUACUUGCAACCUCUGAAGCUCUUUCAAAUUCAGAUUGUGAAUGGCCCUUCUCGUCUUUCUCCAUCUUCAGUUUGUCUGAUAUUGUAUACACUUCCCCUAGCAAAUUCUCUUUUUUUUCCUGCAUAAAGGAAUGAUUUUUGCUAUGUCGUUACAGAAUUAAGAGAAAAUGUGUUUAACUUAUCUAACAUUGGCAGAGCAGCACUGAAGUUACAACAGGAUAUUUGUCAGACUAACCCUGCGAUAUUGGAACUGCAUGUAUUAGCAAGAUCUCUGUUUUAUCAUUGAAAUGGAGUUACUAACCCAAGCCUAGUGGUAAAAGCCGCAGAUGUCCCAACAUAGGACCUAUUCAGUAAACCCAUGUUUGAGAAUCCCCCCAGAAAGAGUUGCUAUUACUCUUCCCUGUAUUAACCAAUUAAUCUCCAACAGGACCUAUUUACUCUUCGUAUAAUGUAUCAGAUAUUCUUCAUUGGCGUAAAGAGACUGCAACAGUAUGGAGGGAGGUGAUUAGGAAUGAUAUGGAGCAGUUACAGCUUACGGAGGACAUGACCCUUGAUAGGAAGGUGUGGAGGACGCGGAUUAGGGUAGAGGGUUAGGGGGUGGGAGUGCGUCGGUAUCAGUAGGGGAGCGUUCUUUUGUGUCUAGAGUUUCUUGUUCGUGGUGUUGUGGCUGUAGUAUUAUCUUGGGGCUAGCGGUGUUAGUUUAUUUUGCAUACCGUACUAGCUUAUAUGCACUUAUCUUUUGUGUUUGUUAUAUUGUUGGUUUAUUUUGCAUACCGUACUAGUUUACAUGUACUUAUCUUUUGUGUUUACUAUACUAUUAUCGGUCCUAAGCCGGGGUCUAUCGGAAACAACCUUUCUACCUCUCUACCUCACCUGAGGUAAUGGUAUGGUCUGCGUACACUCUACACUCCCUAGACCCCACUAUGUGGGAAUAUACUGGGUAUGUUGUUGUUGUUGUUGUUGGCGUAAAGAGACUGCAGUAUUAAACAAUAGGAAAAACAAUGCAGGAAUACUUCUACCUACAAUAUUUGAAGUUUGUGAAAAGUCGAUGAGAUACUGUUUAUUGCAUGUACAAGUGAUGUGUUAGUGGCUUCUAAAGAAAGAUAAAUUUUGAGUUAUCAGUUGGGUAAAUACAGAUUAGUUCGUCAGUUGGGGGCUUAAGUUAUUUACUUCUGAGAGUAUAUAUAUUAAUUACCAGUAGCAUGUUUCUAGAUUAGCUUGAUGUGACAAAGAAGUUAUAUAGAGAAUUUGAAGUGUUGGUGUCAAACAGUCAUGAUAAUCCAAUUACCUCUAACAUUUUCCGUUAAGUGUUUCUAAAAUAUGAGAAUAUUGAUUUGAAAUGUAUAUUUAUAAUUUCUCCAUGUAAGAACUUGAGUGGAACAAUUCUCCUUCCAGGCUAACUAGAUGUCGUCUCACACAAUUAAAAUGAGGAACACGUUGUUGUUCUAAGCUCAUGUUCGCUCCUCAAAACUAACACCUCAGACCAUACUAAACUUCAUUUCAGAAUAUGACAGCUAAUGUUAAAAUGAAGUAUUCACUUUCUCCUUGCUAAAGCUACCACAAUCUGUUAUGGAGUCGGGGCAAUACAAUUAACAAGAAAAUGAAUCUUUAGUUACACCCAAACUCAGCCUUUGUUUCCCUAUAGUUCUCUUUCGACCACAAGCUAUAAUUUUCUUUUAAUUAAACCAGUAUCUUUCAAUGCUAAUUUAUUUACGAAGAGUUUUUUUGAAAGUCAGAUUUCAUUAAUUCGUUUCUGUGCUAAUUUAAGUUUUCCCUAGGUAUUCUUUUUGUCAAUAUCUAUAUUCUAUAGUCUUUUGGAGAGGGUCAAGUUUUCAGUACUACAUUAUUAAAGGUGAGUAGUUGAGAAUUAAUAAUUGUGCUGAUUUGUUUCUGUGCCAUUUCUUUUUAGGCUAGCUUUGGAUGGCUUCAGGAGGAGUAGAGGUAGGCGAAAGAAAUACUGGAGGGAGGUAAUUAGGUAGGACAUGAAGUUGUUUCAGCUUACUGAGGACAUGACCCUAGACAGGAAGGUGUGGAGGUCGUGGAUUAGGGUAGAAGGCUAGUGUGAGUGGGUGGGUUGUGGCUAGGUGUUAGUAGAGUUUGGGUGUGAUAGGUGUCUUAGGUCUGUGAAUGUGUGUGACUACUACAUGGGUAUCCGUUUUCCUUAUUUCUUAUUACGUAUUGUUCGUUGUUCUCUUAUUUUCUUUUCUCGGAUAUCUAGUGUUAUUAUUUCUUACCUUUUAUUUUGUUAUGCUACCCAUCCAGUUUUAUAUUUCAUUACGAUCUUGGUAUAUUAUUCUAUAUCUUGAGCCGGGGGUCUAUCGGAAUCAACCUCUCUACUUCCUCGGAGGUAGCGGUAUGGACUGCGUACAUUUUACCCUCCCCAGACCUCACUUUGUGGGAAUACACUGGGACUGUUGUUGUUGUUGUUGUUGUAUUACCCCUCCAUACAUACACAUAUAUAGAAGUCAAGUUGCUAUUGCCUAAGAAGAAGAUCAACUAAAAUAUAGAACAUACAGCCAGGAACUUGUAUGUUAUCUCAGGAUCGAGUUUUUAUUGUAAAAUAAACAAUUUGAACCAGUUGAAUAUCUACUAAUUGUAGAAAUAACAUACAAGUUCCGAAAAUAGGAAACCUCUAUUAAAUGAUGGGCAAAUCUAAACAAAUUUUCUUUUUUCAUCGAAGACUGCAUGGCAGUAAUUUUAGAUGAAGACGGUAACCCUUAAUUCGGUUCUUUAGCGACCAUCUUUGUGGUUUGAAGAAAAUUGGUAAUGAUCUGGUAAAGUUAUUUCACUAGCAUACUUCAUAUUACACAGUUGUUUCAGAUAUGAUCUCUGAUCAUGCAGUGUCUUUUUUCUCAGAAAAAGGUCUUUUCACAUACAUGAAAGCAAUCUUGACUACUGAAAAAAAGAUGUAGAAGUAACUGUUGCGGCUAAUGGAAAUGAUAAACACGCAAAAUGAUGAAGUAUCAUGCUCACAUAAAGUAAAACAAGUGAGUUAACUUACGCUUUUGUUCUCUGGUAUUUCAGCUAUGUAUUCCAAUUCUCGUGAGCUGAUCGCUGAAUUGCUGUGUUUACGUUUUCUCAACCUCCCUAAAGACUAUCAGAGUGUGUUUUGUACAACUGAACUGGACUGAAAAUUCUCAUAGCUAUAAGUAGAGAUUCUCUAAGUAUGUCGAUGCAGGAUUACAAUAGUUAUAUAAUUAUUAAUUGAUGACCAUGUUGUUAAAGUAGAUAGAAAAUGACAAAUCCACUUGCUAAUCCUACUAAUAUUAUGAGUUGGAAAUAGACGUGGUCCUUUUGAAUGAUGAGUAGUCACAUGCCCCUCUAGUAUAGCUUUUCUAGUCAUCAAACAGUCAGAUAAUUGUUUCUAAUUUAUAACUGCAGGGAUUGUGCUGCUGACAAGAAGAAACUGCCACAAGAAUUUACUGUUCACUUCAUCCCAGGUUAUGGUUAUAAAUUCCUUU
rnacentral:lncRNA from 1 species